CGCAACCGGUUCGGAAACGGCCUUAAGGAUAGGUAAUGGCAGUUGGCCGGUGGCUCGCCUCGUGUGGGUCGUCGGUUGUUAGCCGUCCGAUCUUGGCUCGUGGCCGGACCGUGGUGUCGCGAGGCCCGUUUGGGCUUCUUCGCCUCCUCCGUUCGCGGACGCCGGGAUCCCGGGGCAGGGGUUCGCACUUCUGCGGGCGCACGGACCGACUCCGUGGCCCAGCGGUCGCAUGCGUCCUCGUUGGCCUCGGUGAACCCGUCGGAGGUUGGCGGUUAGCGGGGAGUAGAUCGGUCACCCACCCGACCCGUCUUGAAACACGGACCAAGGAGUCUAACAUGUGUGCGAGUCAAUGGGUCUCGAAUAAGCCCAGAGGCGCAAUGAAAGCAAAGGCAGGACUCGACGCCUGCCGAGUUGGGAUCCCCCUUCCUUCGCGUUGGGGGCGCACCAACGACCCGUCCUGUCCCAUUUAUGGGUUGGGCGGAGUUU
rnacentral:rRNA from 1 species